CCAGAAAACGAAGCUGUAGAUGAUGAGGAGUGUUUUGAGACACGUUAUCACCGGUUUAGUCUCCAUUCGCCGCGAUGCCAUAAUAAUCUAUGCGUUUACGCUCCAGCGGCUCUGCCGUGCCUCCUCCUCUCAGUGCCAGGAGACUGCAGCGCUCGAGUCAUUCAGCGGCGGUGCUGCGUCACCGGACCAAUCAACACCUCUCGUGACGUCAGCUCCGCAAUGAGCCCUAAACGUCAACUCCAAGGAGCACGCGGCUGCAGCCGGAGAGGUUGCUUCGCUCUGUGGAGGAGCUGGUGUCAGCGAGGAGAGCGUCAGCUGUGAGCUCUGCGCUGAGGCCAGACGUUCGAAGCCGCCCCGGAGACUGAAAACAUUUGCCUGGAACUUUCUGGGGAUGAAGUUGGGGUUAGGAAUGAGCAUGCUGGUACACGAUGUCCGGUCACUGCUGAAUGAAGCAGGCUUCUUGGAAGACCAGAGAGUUUGUGGCAUAAAAUACUUCAUCAUCAACUUCUUCUGGUUUUCGUGGCAAACAAUGCAGGAACACCCAAUUAGGUGCAGCAUACUGUCCAGUCUGUAAUAACAUAAAAAGCAUAAGUUAUUGAAUACACCCAUCCAGUUUUAAUGCGAAUGUGUUUCAACUUUUGCCCACUUUCUACGGACAGCUUCCAACAAGAAAAUGACACUACAACGAGCCAUACCCACUGAAGUUAGUUAUAUAAGAAAAGCACUGCUUAUAAUGUAUUAAGCUGGUUUGGGCAGCAACCGUUCAGAAUUGCCAUUGUACAUAGCAAUUGAAAUAACUUAGUGAAAAUGCUAUAAAAGGCUUUGAAUGACAAACUGUUUAUGAAACCACUUGAGCCCUUUGUUGGAUUAAGGCUGCCAGUCCCAAAACCUCUUAUAAGAGGUAGUUCAAGGCAGGCCAUUCCUAAACAAAAUGCUACAGAAUGUUACAGAGAUAGUAGGAACUGCCGAUGUUUCAAACUUCCCUGCUCCUCUGAUGCUGCUUGGCCUGCUGUGUUCAUCCAGCUUCACACCAUGCUACAGAAUGUGCUCUUUAACCCUUAUAGACACUACAUUGCUUUAGUAGAUUCCUCACUUUCUAAAAUAAACACUAUAUGCAGUUAUACACACCAGCUAGCAGAGUAUUUUCAUUGUUAUAACCAGGAGCUAAGAAGUCAUACUCUGCUUAUAAAAAGCAAAUUACAUUACCACCACAGUGGCCAACAUCAGUGAUUUUGACUGUUUUUAAGUACUGUAUCCACAAUGCUCUUACUUAUAAGCAUUAAAUAAAUAUUGAAUACACUUGCC